rnacentral:rRNA from 1 species
UGUAGUGUUAACGAUGAGGCAUACAUGUCAACUAUGGGUGUUGGCUCCAACAAUUCGCAUUGGUCUCAAACCAAUGACAUGCAUUUCGAUGACCAUGAGUUUGAGGUGGACGAGGAUGGUGAGGGCAUUUUCGACGCACCGAAAGGAAGAGGGAACUACACCAACGAAGAAGACGUCUUGCUAUGCAAUACUUGGUUGCAAGUGUCGAGGGAUCCAUCCGUUGGAGGUGAUCAAAGUAGAGAUGCUUAUUGGAACCAGAUGAAGGAGCACUUUGAUCUACACAACAAGAGUGGAACUGACCGCUCCGCUCGAUCUCUUCGCUCCCGGUGGUCGACAAUCAACAAGGAUUGUCAAAAGUGGGCGGCCGCACAAAAGGCGGUUGACAAGUUGAACCCAAGUGGCACUAAUGACGAUGGGUAA